UACGGAGGAUGCGAGCGUUAUCCGGAUUUAUUGGGUUUAAAGGGUGCGUAGGCGGUAUUUUAAGUUAGUGGUAAAACGUCGGGGCUUCACCUUGAUUGGCCAUUAAAACUGGAGUACUAGAGUACAGACGAGGUAGGCGGAAUAAGUUAAGUAGCGGUGAAAUGCUUAGAUAUAACUUAGAACACCGAUAGCGAAGGCAGCCUGCUGGACUGUAACUGACGCUGAUGCUCGAAAGUGUGGGUAUCAAACAGG
rnacentral:rRNA from 1 species